rnacentral:rRNA from 1 species
AACUACGAAUAAUGAAUGGUCCAGGGUAGGCAAAAACUAAUAGCUCUUUUAUGAUUAUGUGAUAGGUGGUGCAUGGCCGUUCUUAGUUCGUGGAGUGAUCUGUCUGCUUAAUUGCGUUUCAAAACAACUGAUACACAGAGUCUUGGCACAGUUCAGUUUAAUGGCGUCGAGUAUCUUUGAUUUCGACAGUAGUCCAACUCGGUUCGCCAGGGUCUCUUUUGAACGCAACGGACGUGAUCGCAACCCUUUGUUGAGUGAUGUCAGCACUCUACGUCUAUCCUAGCUCGUUGAUCGCAAGUGAGAGUUGGGUGGGCAAACUCAGGGGACAGCUUCAACUAUUCUUCUUCAAACUAGAGGAAGGUUGCGGCAAUAACAGGUCUGUGAUGCCCUCAGAUGUUCUAGGCUGCACACGUGCUACAUUGAUCAGCACAAUGCGAUACAUUUCGAAAGGAAACAUCGGUUUUAAGGUAACGUCGAUUGCCUACCGAUAGCACCUGGUCCUCAGUGGACUGGGCAAUCUCUUCUAAAUGCUGGUAAGGUACCCACACUCGAGCUAUUUAAUCACACGCGGGAGGCACACACGGUUCAAAUCUCAUUUGCGACUGUUGCCGCCAUGACGUAUGCAACUUGUCAACUCUUCGUGGGGAUCGUCGAUUGCAACUAUUC